rnacentral:lncRNA from 1 species
GCACCUGAGAUGUUGUACUCCCUCCACUGUUGUUUUAGCAAUGGCAGCAUCGACGUGAACUUCACGAUCAUCAUGGAAAUCAAUAUGCCAAACAACGUCAGUGCUAUCGAUAGAGAGAUCGUCAACCGGACACAGGAGCUUGUGAAGCAAUUGGAACACGCCAACGCCAGGAACUGUAGCCAGCAGGACAAAGACUACUGUUUCACUGUUUUAGAGUCCCCCGCUCUGGUUAGAAAUUUUUCGGCAGAAGAUUAUUGCAAAAAUAUCGUCAAGCCUCAAUAUGCAGCCUACUAUUACGCCAAUAUGUCCACGGGAACAUUGCGCUGUAUUACCAACUGCACCAAGGGAACAAAGACCUCCUGGAACUGCCACUAUGGAGAGUGUCGCAUUCGUGAAACAGGCCCCGAGUGCUUGUGCAGUGAUAUGGACAAGUUUUGGUACACAGGAGAUUUUUGCGAGACACGCUUCCAGAAGAGUGAGGUGGGCCUUGGUAUUGGGCUCGCCAUCUUGUUUGUGACCAGUGCUGUCCUGGCUUUCUUCCUCUUCAGAGCCAUGAGGAAGAAAUCUAAAGAGAGCUUCCUUGACGGAGAGGAGCUCUGGUACGUGGAGGAUGAAGAGGAAGAGUGGAAGCCUUCCUCAGGCCUGAGCAUCGUGAAUAAAGCAGCCUGCGAGGGUGGACUUGAAGGCAGAAAACAGGUGUUCAGACCAACUCUUGAUGCAGUAGAUACUGAAAUGCAGGUAUGUACAGCUAUAGUUUCAUCUUGGGCAGAUUUCUUUCGGUUAUCGUCUCCUGAGAUCAAUCGA